UCCAUCGAAAUGUUUAUUUACACACGGAUAUGAACAUUAUACCAUGGGAAAUCGUAGCACAUAAUAUUUAGACUCAAGUCGGAAACAUUAUCCUGAAACGAUUAUUUUUCGUGAUAAACCUUGUGCUUCCACAGAUAAUAACCAGGGCAAGAUUCUUAUCAUUACUUCAAACCAACGGACACUAGCUUAUGUUCCCAAAAUGUAAACAAAAUAAGAAAAUCAACUGAAAUUUAUUUUGUAAAUUAGGGCGCCAAUAUAAAUUGAAUUGAUAAGAAAGUGCUAACUGCAAUAAACGCACUGGAAAGCUAUUUCGGAUAAAAUACAUCGGUUUUAGCGGACAUUUUUUAUGCAGAAUUACAGGAAAUCGUUAUUUGUUUUGGUCGUUUCUGAGCAUGGAUAUUUUUCGGAAGAGUUCGCAUGCUAGUUCCCACAUACUGGAUUCAGAUUCAUUGGUAAUUGAGGCCUUGUGUACUAUGCAAUACAAAGAAAACUACACUCAUGUGUCAACAUUUGCUGUUAUAAACAGGGAUAUACACAGAUCAUUGUGGAUUAUAAAUAAAAGUUGGAUCUUUAAAAGCGACCACGUUACCUAACUGGAAUAGUGUUUUUAAGUAGAUGUAUUUUCUUAUUACUUUGAAUAUUACAGAUAUAUGGACAUUUGUUUUCGUAAUGUGAAAUGAUAACGUUUCUCGAAAAUGUCAGGACAGAAACAUUCAAUAAUUACAUUCUAACCAUAUCAAGUUGUGUAAGAUGUGCAAACAGUGA
rnacentral:lncRNA from 1 species